UUUAACUUUACUGAGCCCUGUGCUCCUGCCAAACUGCGACAGUUAAGAACUACCCCCAACUUUUGUCUUCCAAGAAAUGGCUCACUGGAAAGAACCAUACUUCCCUGUACGACUAAGAGAAGACUUGCCCACACCCCCCGGUCCACCCGUGACGAGGCAAGAUGCAGAGCCUCCGCCACCCACUCUUGCCUCGCAAGCGAUCGGCUGAGCUGUUGUCCCACUGACCAGUCUGGACAAGAGGCCAGCUCACUUGACGCAACCAGAAGUCAAAACACUUUCAGAGGAUGCUUCACAGAAGGCUCAACUCAGAACACCUGACAGACGACGCCCUAAACAAAGACAUUCCAUCAUCUCACCAAGAACGGAAGUCAGGAGGAGGAAAUCGUAUCCAGAAGCCCCUUAGGAGAUCUCCCCUGACAUCUCAUCGACCGGAGCUGGGUUACAUGGUUACUCCGAGACCUGAGAGAAGCCGGGAGGUUCCAUCCCACCAGAGUGGACUAAGUGCCUGCUGUGUGCAAGGUUUCCCAGGGGGCUGAGGGAGGUGGCAGGCACCGUCUCCG
rnacentral:lncRNA from 1 species